ensembl:lncRNA
CUAAAACAUGUGUACUCUCCACACUACAGGGUGCACCCAGGCAAGGUUUUUCCAACAACUGUGGGGUGUUUGUGUUGAUGGUAAGGAAAUGGCUAUUCAGUAUAUUAUGAAUAUGUCAUAUUGGGGCAACUGGGGUGGUAUUUCUUCUCUUUUCAAAAAUAAAUGAAGGAGUUGUUUUUAUUUCUAUAAUCAUAAAUAUAAACCACUUGUACAUUGUCAUGGAUGGAAGGUGGGACUUUGCUGAGUCAAACAUGAAGCAAAUACGGCGAUGGUGGUGCCUUGUUCUUUUGAAGAACUUCCCCCUGCCGUCUGCAGAGGAGCUUUCAGGAAGCAGGAAGAGAAGACGGGAGGGGAAAAAGCUACAGGAUAAAGAUAUCUGCACAAAAAGGGCUAGAGUUGCUCCAACAGCAUCCAGCUCUGAAGGAUCAGACAAAACUGAAGACCAGGAACUGGAACCUGGGAACCUGGUAUGUAAUAUGUGCAUAAUGCUGGAGGUUGUAUGUAUAGCCAGAUGAAAUAGUUCUGAUGACUAGUUGAAUAGUGUUUUUUAUCACUGAAAACUCAUCAGUAGUAGUAGCCUUUGUUUGCAUACCAAUUUGUGGUUUUGGGAGAGUAGGGUGUCAAGUACAGACACAAAUAAUUGUUCUUUCUUCUUCAAGGAAGAUGAUGUUGUCCUGAAGGACACAAUUCAGGCAGCAGCAUGGUGCCAGUUGCAGUACUUCAAGGACAGCGUUUCUCUCCCAGAGGUCAUUGGGAUGGAAGGAUGGGAGCAGAUGGCAGCAUCAACGCAGCGCAAAUCCUAUGACGGCGGGGAUGAGGAAGAAACGCGGAAACCAUUCCAAUUUUCAUUCAGAUUCCAAACUGACUAUGAACUGUUCUGUGUGGAGAUUAUGGACAGGAGAAACCUGAAGGUGUUUGCCUCUUUUGAGUCAAACACAUCUCCCCCUCCCCGUCCCCCUCCCCGUGACGCCUGCGCCACACGACUCCAGUAGUCUGAUGAUGCAGCAUAAUGGCGGCGCUUGGUAGCUAUGGAGGCGGUGGCGGCGAUGUCGGGCGACAGGGCGUGGAGCGAGAGUGGCGUCCACCUCACUGAGGAAGGCGUCAGUGUGUUCCCCCCCCCCCCCCCCCCCGUUGAGACUUUGUUCUACUCUUUAUUGAUUUAUCUUUUAUGUUAUGUUUUGUAGUUGUUAUUUUUUUGUUUUUGUUUUGUUGAAUAAAAAGACUGUUGUUAGUGCUCCUGUGAUUGGUGUAACUUAAUGUGCUUCACACAUGUAGCUUUUCAUUAUGUCUAUUGAGGUACAUUUUUUGCCCUUAGAUGUGGUCACUUCGUUAUUCCUCACAUUACAUCUGUUAAGGUCAUACCUUUGGGUCCCAGUCUUCAUAGUUCCCCAAAUCUUAUUUUGGCUCUUACUGGGCCUGUAACUCUCACAGACAGACGGGUACAGGAGUUCGCACACGUUGCAUUGUUUACAGGCAAGGGUGGAUUACCGCACGGGCACACCGGGCACAUGCCCAGGGGCCCAAGGGCGGUGGGGGGCCCUAAGCCGGAGCUUCUGUGUGAAGUCGCUGUUAGUAACUUUUAAUGUUGCAUUAUCGAAGCAAUCAGUAGAGAAAUACAAAAAUUCAAGCGAAAACAGCAAUAGUAGGCCUAUUAAUACUGAGUAAAAAAAAAAAAGAUCACUAGGGGGCACUAUUUCAGUUAGUGAACAGGUUCACGAACAAUGCACUGUGAUUUAAACAUGGAGCAACGGCGAACGGUUGUAACGUGAACUCUUAAGUGGAACCUUAACCUUCAUAGGGUGUUUGUUUUUUUGUCACACAGGAGGUGCUGCUGGGUCUGGUGGACCCAUUGCCUUUUAAUUCAACAUAAUCAAGCUUUUUUUUUUAAAUACUCACCAGAUGGUUACUUCAUCCCAAUUGCAAGUAAUAUAAACAACACAUAUGUUAAAUUUGUUCACUUUACCUUUGUUAAAUCACAUUUAUGAAUAGAGGUGCCACUCGUUUUUGUUUCUUUUUGUAUUAAAAAGCAACAAAAUAAGGAAAUGCCUCAUAAAACAGGCAUAACUUGGAAAUAAU